UGACGGUGGCGUAUGGCGGCCAGUUCCGUGUUUACUCCCGUUGGACGGGGUCGGAGCGGGAGCUGUGCGCGGUGUCAGUGAAGUAAGAGGCCGGAGGACAACAACAGGAGGAAGAGAAGAGGAUAAGCGGAGAUGUAUCCGGUAGCUUGAGGGCGACUUUGGGCAGGGGGGGAGCGCUGGGCAGAGUGUAAACAAGACGGAGGUUUCAGGACGCUCAGGAACGGCAUGUUUUCCAGAAAGGCUCAUGGAGACGUCAAGAAAUCUACACAGAAAGUUCUGGACCCAAAGAAGGAUGUGCUGACCCGCUUCAAGCACCUGAGGGCUCUGCUGGAUAUUUUGGAAAGAAGUGAACUGAAGCAAUUCUUUGAAACGAACUACUCUCAGAUUUAUUUUAUAUUCUUCGAAAAUUUAUUCACACUGGAAAGUAGUUUAAAACAAAAAGGGAAUAAGUCGCAGAGGGAGGAGCUGGACUCCAUUCUCUUUUUAUUUGAGAAAAUACUUCAACUGCUUCCUGAGAAAAUCAACAACAGAUGGCAGUUUCACAGCAUAGGCUCAAUUUUGAAGAAACUUCUGCACACUGGAAACUCUGUUAAGAUAAGAUGUGAAGGAAUUCGACUCUACCUGCUUUGGCUUCAAGCAUUGCAAGAGAAUUCUUCAGAUGAGCAGCUCACCUUAUUUGCUUGUCUAGUCCCUGGCUUUCCAGCUGUUUCAUCUCGAAUUGGACCAUGUACUUUAGAUACACUCAUAAACCCCUCCUAUAAUCUAUAUGAUGUAAAAAUUGCUGCAGAAGACAUUACUCCUCUGUUACCAUCGGUGUUGGGGGAAAAGAUAUCAGAUGACCAGACUUUGUAUUUCCUUCAAGUUCUUCUGAAGUACAUGGUAAUCCAGGCUGCAAGCUUAGAGUGGAAGAAUAAAGAGAAACAAGAAAGUGGCUUUAAGUUUCUUUUUGCCUUGUUUAAGAAGUUCUACCUUUCGCAUUUAUUUCCAUCCUUUACAAAAUUUACCAACCUUUACAAUCCUGUACUUGAAAUUCCUCAGAUGAGACCAAAGCCACUAUAUGUUAAUAUAACACGAAACAAUGAAAGCAUGUACAGUACAAGGGACCAGUACUUGGCAGCUCGGGUGGCAUUUAUUAACUGGCUUGUGACCUUCUUUCUGGAAAAGAAAUGCACUGCCACAAGCCAAAACACUAAGAAUGGUGGAGAAAUGCUACCUAAAAUUAUCCAGCACUCAGCAACUGCAAACCCAUCAGCUCAGGAGAAAGCCAUUGAAUUGGAAACAAAUGGGUCCUCAGAACAGGAUCGAUCUCACUCCAACAGCAGUACUUUAUCUGAAAGAAGACUCAGUACCUCCAGCCUCUGCAGCAUUGAAGAAGAGCAUCAGCCAGUCUAUGAGAUGGUUCAGAGAGUGCUACUUUCCUCUCAAGCGAAUGUGAAUUUUAUCAAUGAAGUGUUUCACCAGGGUUUUCUACUGCCAUCAUGUGAAGCAUCAGCAAUAAAAAAAGUUGUAAAGGUUUAUCGAAAAUGGAUCUUACAAGAAAACAAACCUCCAUUUAUGGCAGAGCCAGAAAAGAUGGAAAUGGAUGAUGAUGUAAUUGACCAUCCAGAGAAUCUUUCUGUAACACUAACUGCUAACAAUGAGAGCAUUCAGCAGCCAAGGCACCGGCGCACAUCUAGCUGGGGAAGAACAUACUCUUUUACAAAUGCUAUCAAUCGGGGCUGUGUUUUUGAAGAGGAAAAUGUAAAUGUUCAGGCUGGCACUCAAUCAACAUUGCAGGUAUUUUUGACAAAUUCUGCAAAUGUGUUUCUGUUGGAACCCUGCACUGACAUCUCAAAGAUCCUAGAAGAGCAGAUUGAUGUGUGCAAGGCAGUCUUGAGUAUCUAUCGGCACAUGAUCAUGGAAUUAACCAUGAGCAAGAAGACAUGGGAGCAACUUUUGCAAGUGUUGCUCAGGAUCACAGAAACAAUUAUGCAAAAGCAACAGGAUUUGCACAAAUGUGAUAUUUUUGCAGAACAAAUGGCUGGACUACUUUUCCGGACUCUCAUUGUCGCCUGGAUCCGGGCUAAUUUAAGUGUGUAUAUCUCACGAGAACUUUGGGAUGAGCUGCUAUCUGUACUGUCUUCUCUCACUGCCUGGAGUGAACUGAUUACUGAAUGGGCAAAAAUUAUGGAAUCUCUUACUGUGGUGUUGGCAAGAUGUGUGUACGGUCUGGAUAUGAAUAAUUUACCACUGGACAAGCUAAGUGAGCAAAAGGAAAAGAAGCAAAGAGGGAGAGGUGUACAUCAAGAUCUCAGCAAGGUAACUGGAGUAGGUAGGUCCUUUUCUCUGAGUUGGAGAAGUCAAGCUGAUGGCACACAAGAGCAUAUGCGAUUUAGAAGUGCAACUACCUCUGGUGCCCCAGGAGUUGAAAAGGCCAGAAAUAUUGUUCGUCAGAAAGCAACAGAAGAUGAAGAGUUCCAACAGUCUGAAAGUACACCAGAUGCAGAAGAAUUGAUGUGUGGUUCAAUAUUGGAUCAAGAACAAAAACUUACCCAUAGCAUCAGCACUUCUGACAUUGCUGAACAACUUCAUUCUGACUUGAUGCAAGGCCAAAAGACGGAACACUCAGCUAGUUUCAAUAAUUCUGAUUCAAAGACUACGGUUGUUGAAAACAGAAAAUGUGGAGGGAAAGACAAUGAAACUCCAGUUAUCAUGAUACGUAGGAGCAGUAGCCCUGGUGACCUAGAAAGUAAUGCAGAUAAUCUUCAAUCAUCUCAAGGAAGAUACAGAUUGAGAAAUAAAAGUGAGAGCAUCAGUAGUGAAACAUCCAAUGAUUUUAAUAGUUUCAAUGAAACGGAGCUACCCUUAACUCAGUGGAAGACAUUUGAUGAAGAAUCAAAAGCUGGUGCAGUACUUGAUGAUGCGGAUGAUGCAGAUACAGCACACAACUGGCAGAGACGAUGUUCUUCCAAUGCUACCACUCUUACAGGUUUUGGUACUGCCCUUCCUACCCUCUCAGCAAUUUGUGCACAACCCACUCUUUCAUCAGCUUUCCCCAUGCAACCUGAAUCCAAGGACUCCACUCCACUCCUGGAUGAAAAACUACAUCAGUCUGUCUUGCAAAUUCCUGAGGAUCUGGACAGUAGUGAAUGCCUUGCAGAUGAGUGCAGUAUCAUUGCUGGAGGAAACCUCACUGGUUGGCAUGCUGAUGCAGCGGCUGUGCUAUGGAGAAGGAUUUUGGGCAUUUUGGGAGAUGUCAACUGCAUACGCUGCCCUAAAAUCCAUGCCCUGGUUUUUGAGCAUCUGUAUGAACUCUGGCACAAACUAGCCAAGAUUAGAGACAACCUGGGUAUCAGUCUAGAUAAUCAGAUUUCACCACAAUCGCCAAUUCUGAUUCCACCUCUUCGUAUGUUUGUGUCCUGGCUGUUUAAGGCAACAACUCUGCCCAAUGAAUAUAAGGAGGGAAAACUGCAAGCCUACAAACUAAUCUGUGACAUUAUGACUAAGCGUCAAGAUGUCUUGCCAAAUUCUGAUUUCUUAGUACACUUUUAUCAUGUGAUACACCGAGGCAUUGUGUGUGAGGAUCAGGAUGUGCUGAACAUGCUUACUAAGCAUUGUUCACCUCGCUUCUUCUUACUUGGUUUACCUGGUUUCACCAUGAUGGUGGGUGAUUUCAUCACAGUUGCAACUCAAGUCCUCAAUUCAGACAUGGUGGAUGCGCCACGUUAUGAAGCACAAAUUCUCCUUGGAUCUCUGGUCUGUUUUCCUAAUCUGUACCAACAGAUGUCACUGCUACAGCCUGUAACUGGUGCUACUGACAUCAUAACAGGGAAUGAAGAUAUCAAGGAUUAUUUGAUAAACAUUCUGAUGAAAAAUGCAAGGAAUGAGACCUGUGAGACUGCACGAUGUAUAGCGAUGUGUAGCCUUGGAAUCUGGAUUAGUGAAGAGCUGGUGCAGAGUACAAACCAUGUACAGGUCCAGGACGCACUGAAUGUGUUAGGUGUGACACUUAAGUUUUCAAACAAAGUGGUUGCUGAAGUGGCUUGUGACAUGCUAAAGCUGUUGGUUACUCAUAUGGAAAGGCUUAAGAAGUAUGAAUCCCAGCUCCCAAAGAAAAUAGCUGAGAUCCUUGUUGCCACUAUUGCAUUUCUCCUCCCAAGUGCAGAACAUUCAUCUGUGGAUGCAGAUAAACGGUUAAUAGUAUCUCUAUUGCUCUGCCUUUUGGAUUGGUGCAUGGCAAUGUCUGUGGAAGCCCUAUUGGAACCUAUUAGUGCAACUUUGAUGGAAGACCAAAUGGCACGCAAAGCACCUUUACUAGACUAUGUCUACAGGGUAUUGCAUUCCUGUGUUUAUGGCUCUCACCUCUUCACCCAGCAAAGUCAAUACCUGCUGACUCUUGCUGAUGUCUCCUCUACAGAAUAUGAUCCAUUUUUGACAUUGGGAAAUGUCAAGAAUUCUGAACCUGCUCAUUCAUAUGUCCCUAAGGAUUUUGGCAGCCUUCUUACUGUCACUGAAAGUAAGAAGAAAAGAAAUUUGGAUUGGAUCCCUCUUACAGCACGCAUGGUAAUGACACACCUAAUUAAUCAUUUAGGACAUUAUCCGCUCAAUGGAGGGCCUGCUAUACUUCAAAGCCUUGUCAGUGAGAACCAUGACAAUCCCUAUGUUGAAUCAUCAGACCUGUCUGCAGAGGUCUUCAAAAGCCCAAAUUUGCAACUUUUUGUGCUUAACGACAGCACCCUAAUUUCUUACCUUCAGAUUCCGACAGAAGCAGUUGUCCGAGAAAGGACUUCCAGCAAUGAGCCAAACGUUCCUGCCUCAGAUAUGAGGGUAAUUGUGCGCGAUAUAUCUGGGAAGUAUUCUUGGGAUGGUCGGAUUCUAUAUGGCCCACCCAGCAAUCAGAUGACCUCGUCUAAAAACUGUAAAGCACCUUCAUUUUCAAAUGUUGGUUUAAUCGUUGAUGGUCAAUCUAACAUACAGAAUCCAGACUGCAGUUCUCUUCAAAAGGAACGCGAUGAUCUUGAUCAAUUGCUUGAAGAUUUAAGUAAUAGCAGUCCAGAAUGCCUACUACACCCGCAGCUGGGACUCAGUGAGCCAGCACCACUACCAGUUGGAAUGAAUCAUGAUCAGGAACAAAAUAUCAUAGAUGCUAUAAUCAGACAAAACAAUCAAGAGGAGGAAUACAUUCGUAGGUGGAGCAGAGAUCACUGUAUGAGUGUGGCCAGUCAAAAAGAAUCUAUUCAUCAUGAACCUCAAGCACAAUUUUACUAUUGCAGACUAUUUCUUAAUGACAUGGGAAUGAAUUCUUGGGAACGAAGGAAUAGUUUCCAUCUUCUGAAGAAAAACUCAAAGCUGUUAAGGGAGCUAAAAAAUUUGGAUUCAAGACAGUGUCGGGAAACUCAUAAAAUUGCAGUAUUUUAUAUUAUGGAAGGACAGGAAGACAAAUAUUCAAUUCUCUCAAACACUGGAGGAAGCCAAGCAUAUGAAAACUUUGUCUCUGGACUUGGCUGGGAGAUUGGCCUGUCUACACAUUGUGGUUUUAUGGGUGGCCUGCAACGUAAUGGCAGUACAGGGCAAACUGCACCUUACUAUGCUACCUCUACUGUGGAAGUCAUUUUCCAUGUUUCCUCAAGAAUGCCAUCGGACUCUGAUGAUUCAUUAACUAAAAAGCUCCGUCACCUGGGAAAUGACGAAGUUCACAUCAUCUGGUCUGAGCACACAAGGGACUACCGCAGGGGCAUCAUUCCUACGGAUUUCGGCGAUGUCUUAAUCAUCAUCUAUCCAAUGAAAAAUUGCAUGUUCUACAUUCAAAUUUUAAAGAAGCCAGAAGUCCCAUUUUUUGGUCCUCUCUUUGACGGAGCCAUUGUGAAUGAAAAACUUCUGCCAAGUCUCGUCCGUGCCACAGGCAUCAAUGCCAGUCGAGCUGUGAAGUCGCUCAUUCCCCUCUACCAGAGCUUUUAUGAAGAAAGAGCUCAGUAUGUCGAAGCAAUAGUUCAGCAACACAAAGAGAUCAUGACGUUUGAAGGUUUUGCAGCUCAAGUCUUCUCUCCCUCCCCAAGCUACUCGCUCAGUAACAUGGAUUUAAAUAUUUAAAGGUCUGAUUACAGUUAUUGUUAAAGACACCGUCCAAAACAUGCUUGCCUUGGCACCCUUGGUUGAAAGGUUGGAAAGAGGUGAAAUGUGACCCGUGAUCCACAGGAUUUUGCAGGAUACUUGUUCGUCCUUUACCACUCUCCUGUUCCAUCUUUUUCAAGGAGAAACAUUGAUUUUCUAUGGACGGAUAAGCUAUGGCUGAUGAUGAAAGGACUAUUCUUGAGUUGUAAACCUGAUCACUAUAGCAGCGAGACUGCCAGUCCAAUCCAAACCUGAGACUGCCAAUCCAAACCUGAUCACUAUAGCAGCGAGACUGCCAAUCCAAUCCAAACCUGAUCACUAUAGCAGCGAGACUGCCAAUCCAAUCUUCUGAGAGGCAUCCAAUUAAGAACCUGCCUCCGGGAUUUCCGUCCAAUCAGGGAUGACCGAUGGACUCAGCAGGCAGGAGGGCAGGUUCUCUUAACGGAAGUCAAAGCACUGAAAUGCCCAUAGCUGUGGGAAUGGACCCUGCAGAUAGGCUUCCCCACCACUGCCACGUGCCACAAAAAACCAAGUCUCUGGGAAACGUCGCCACUCUGCCAGUUCACUAAGCAAAUCUUCAAACUGAAAAACUUUAUGUAGACUGAGGCUUGCUUUCCAGCCUCUUCAUUUUUCUACUGAUAUUCUGUCCAUAAAAUUCACUUCAGAUGGGAUUUGAACACUCCUUCUUUCUUUGAUAUAUAGUUAAGUUUCAGAAGCAAGGUACAGAGAAGGAAUGGUGUAAACCUGAUUGGCAUUAGAAGGUUCCCACACUUGGCUAACCUAUUUAAAGUGUAGAUGUCAGCAUUGUGGAGCAGGUAAGAGAAGUUGUUAUGGUGUAAGAACAACAUAACAAUACCUCCAGCCGUCUUGGAAUAGGUGCAUGAUGUCACGUCCAUGCCAUAAUAACAGUAACUAUGGCAUGUAAUAUCACUUACAGUAUGAAGUCAUUGCUGGCUGUGUAGAGAGACCACACAAUAAUGACCACACUCAGAGACCGUUGCACACUGGUAUUAUGUUUAGUGCAAUUCUGAGACACUGAAAAUGGACUCGGUGUACACCUCUGUGAUUGUUGGAUCGAGUUAUCAUGAUAUAUCAGGCACUCUAAAUCUUGAGGUAAAACCACUGCCUUUCAAUGCUUUCAAUUGAUAUUAUGCCAUGUAGGGGAAGGGAGGCCCAUUCUUCAUUAGCUGAAAUGUACAUGAGCACUAUCCAAGAGUCUUAACGAGGAUUUUUAAAAACCAUAAGUGAAAUGAUCAUAUAAACGUUCAGCUGUCAUUCCUGUUAUGAAAAUUGUGUCUGUGUAUAAGGAUGUUUUUGGUGGCCUCUAUUUUGGCUUAUCCAAUUUUCCUGCCUUCCAGCCACCAACUGGCUCCUUUCUCAUACUCCUGCUCCUUAAUUGACUAAAAUAUGACUCUUGUAAUGCUCAAGUGUUGGAUGGUUAAAGUUUAGUAACUUAAUUAGAAUAGAAUUUAGUAAAAACUCUGAUGCUGUUGCAGAUUUGUGGGUUAAGUAAAGCUCCAGAACGAGUGGAGCAACCACUGGGGCCAUUCACCCACACAUCACAUUGUCUCUCUGCAUUUGAAUAUUUGCAUCAUGUUUGAGUGACUACGUACAGGGUAAGCAAAGAGAAAAAGCUUUUUAAAUUAUCUUUUUAUCCUGUUCCUUGUAAGACAGGCUCAUGAUUAAAAUCAAAGAAAUAACGUUCAGAUUUCCACGUAAGGCAAGCUUUGCCCUUUUAAUAUUUACGUUGAUCUUAAAUUGUUUUGCUCUUACAAAUUAUAAGCACAAGAAUGCCAGGGGGAUGAUACAAAACAAGAAUCUGAGCUAAGUUGGAGAUGAAACCAUAUCAUGCUUAACUUAUUUAAUAUACUUAUAUGGUGUAUUACUGUACAGAGAUGGUUUAUCUGCAGUUCUGACCAGUUUCAAUCUGGAACUGUAAUUGGGUGUCUCGUGCACAAGCCAUAUCUAAUUAUAAACCAUAUACAUUAUUAAACAGUGAAACAUGAGAGUUAAAAUUCUAGCUGUUCCAAUCUUUCACCACAGUGUUUUUGCCUUGUUUGAAUUGUAAACACCCCCAGAUAUUUAGUUGUCGCUGCAGAAAGGAAUAUGGCCACUGACAGUAUAAUACUUCUAAAGGUGCUGCAUUAUGGAAUCCAUCAUUCAGUCAUGGCCUGUUCUGAAAAUUUUAAAUAGGCAGCCGUCAGGUUAUUUCGUACUUCCACCGCCCAACUGCACCUUUAGCCACAGUUCCAAAGCACUGAAUUGUAGGACCAGUUUCCUACAGGUUUUCAUCAUUUCAAAGCAUGAAGCCACAAAAGAACCUAGAGGCAAAACCACUGCACAUGUAGAUACUUAAUUUAGAACUUUUCUACUGAAGAGUAUUUGUCACUAAUUGUGACUUGAAGAUUGUGACAAAUAGAACAGUAACUCCAUUAACGUUUUGUAUGUGUGUGCUCUUGCAGCUCAUUUCAUUUUAUAUCAUACUCCUGAAAACCUUUCAGUCUUCCUGUAUGCUUCAGUCAACAAUUGACAUAUGGGUUAUCUGGACUAUUUAUUGCUGAAAUUAUGUCUUGUUGAGUACCCUAAGCAGAAGAAAUGUAAGAAUUUGAUCUUCCAAGUUCUGUUGAUGCCUGCUAAUGGGAUUUUUUUUUACAGUGAGAACUUUAUGAAUUAAUGUUACUUAUGUGUUCAUCUUUGAAUUAUAUGACAGUACUGUUUCUGUUGCACUUGUUCUUCAUGUACCAGUCAAGUGAAUGUGCUCUUUGGUUGUCAGAUGUAUAAUGCUUUAUUUUUUAUUAUAUAUGUAAAUAUGGAGUAAUAUUUGAUAAGCAAAAUAUAAAAAAGAGCCUUUGUAAGUUAUGGUUCAACUCUUCCAUCUUGCUGUUGGCUUUAGUCAAUGAUUGUGCUUAUUUAAAAAUACAGUCAGAGCCUCAGGUGAUCUGCACUGAGUGUAUGGAGCAUAAAAUUUGAGAUGCAGUCUUGUAGUGAUACAGUAAUUUUUGUUUGACGUGACAUCCUUGCUUACCAUGUUACAGCUAAAAAUUGUACCUUUCUAUAAAGCAUCAUUUCUAAAUAAUUAAUUAGUUGUCAGCUAACUUUUGUUUUAUCUGUUUUAAAAAAAAUCUUUCAAUAAGAACGUUCUUUGCAGCUUUCUAAGAAUGUUUUCUUUAGAAAUGUGUAGCUUUCUAAUGAAUAUUGUAAAACAGAAUUAAAACGCACUCACAGCCUUUAGACAUUUCCUAAUACACAGUGUUCAGCUUGAACUUGAAAAAUACCACGUGCUUCCUGCUUAUUUUGAUGACUGAAAUCCUCAGUAACUAAAGGGUUUAAAAGUUGUAGUUAAAGACCAACUAUAUUUGAAUGUGUGUGUUCUGAUUUGAAUUAUUCCUCAAAUGCUUAAUUUAUGCCCAAAUAUGUUGAUCUGUUUUUGUAUAUAUUAUUAGCCUCAUAAGUGGCUCAGAAUCAAUGGAAUUAUGGGAAUUCUAGUCUAGAUAUGUUAAUUCAUUAGGAAAAAUAAGAUUUCACAAAAAUUCUAGCUUUCUGCUUUUUAGUUCACUUUGGAUCAGAAGUUCUAAUAGAAUUUAUUCCACUGCUGAUGAUGUCUUCCAUUCAGUGAGCAAACCUGCCCUUUUCUGAAUUUUCUUGCAUGUGUCGAUCACUAUAAACUGUAUAUAAACAUUAAUCCCUUGGUUAAAAUUACGGUUUUAACUGAGUGCAAUAUGAUACAGCAUUAUAUAAAUUCUAACUAGUUUAAUGUGGUGACAUACAAAAGCAAUAGAAAGUAGAAGACUGUUGUGCCUUUGUUGUUAUGCUUAAAUAACUUCAAAGUACUUAAGUGUUCAACAGAUACUUUCUAACUCUUAUUAAUGUAUAGGUAAAUAUUGCCUAAAGUUUUCUUAUCACACUGGGCUUUUUUUAAAAUACGUCAGUUGCCAAAGAGCUCUUAAAUUGCUGAAAAAUGCACCUAGUCGCUCCUAUAAACCCACAACACAGUAAUUUUGCAGUGAUGUGUGAUGCUGGUAACUAACUCUAUAGCCAUUUACAUUUGUUGCUUUAUACCAAAGGAAACAUAUCCCAGGAAAGGUUGUCAAGUAAUGCCAUUUUAGAAUUUAACUUAACACACUUUCUGAAUAAAUUUAAAACAAUACUCAAUUUGUAGAACUGGAUUAAAUAUCUUAGAGUUCUUGUGAAGCAGAAGUGGCACUGUUUUUGUAGAGACACUGGUCUUUUGACAUUUCAUUUUUGAGUUUCUACCAAAUAAGCUUGCAGUUUUAUUUUUUGGGCAUGGGGAGGGUCAAUCGAGCAAUUAAUCACAAACAACCCCGAUGCUGGUCUAACUCUAAAGCAGCACCUACAGCAAUGGAUUACUCGACUAAAAGUGGAUGUUGGCUGGCAUUGCUUUAUGUCAUAAGCUAUAAUCAGGGCAACAACUUUAUACCAGAGAAACAUACCCCAGGAAAGGUUUCAAAUAAUACCAUUUUAGUGUUUAAUUUAAAAUAUGUUCCUAGUAAAUUUAAAACAAUGCUAAAAUUGUGUAGGUUUAAUCUUCAAAUGUCCCUGAACUUUGUCAAAUGUUUAUGUUCAAACUGAAAAACAAUUAGUAGUUUUGAAUAUUUUUUCAUGACUUGUUGGCUAAAGGUAAGUAGUGCUGUUUUUUGUAAUGCACCUUUGUGUUUUCUAAAUAUUAUGCAGAAGAGCUGGAAAAUUAGACAUGCAGUUUGUAUUUCAGUAUCUACGUAUUUAGAUUCUCCAGGUUAACCCAGUUUGUAGACAUCACACAUUGUGGCUUGUGGGAAUAUUAGAGUACAUUUGAAAAGCUUUCUUUCGUUUUCAACACAUUUCUGGCACAAAUCUAAAUCAUUUAUGAACAAAAUUUUGUUUAUUUAUCUUGUAUUCCUAUUUGUCUUUUCUCAUUGCUCCCUCUCCUCAAUUCCUCCUUAAUCCCGUUUCCCUGUUGCUCAUGCUACCAAAUUUGGAGAAAGUAAUGUUCUUGCAAAAUUCUGGUUACCAGUCUUCAACCACCAGUGAAAUGUCUAAAAGUAAUAAAAAACUGGUUUUAAAAUUUAGGCUCCUGUAAUUGGUCCCACAAUCAAUUAUUGACUAUAUGUCUGAAGCAUCUUAGCCAAGGCUUUAGAAAAGCCCAACACAAGUAUUGUAAUCACUUUUGCUUCUUCAGACACCUCCUUGCCAUAUAUUAUUUGGCCAGCCUCUAAUGAAGGACCCUAUACACCUGAUAUAAUUAUUUUUGAUGCAUCAUUUUGCUGAGUUCCAUCCUCAUUAUUGCACCAUUCUUAUGACAAGUCAUACUAAUUUAAUUGUUCUUCAAGUGAUUGUGUUUUCUUAAAGAAGAAAAAAAUGUAAUAAAAUGCAGUCCUAUCAACAUGAACCACCUCUUCCAGGUGUGACCAUGCUCGAGGAUGUCAAACACCAUCAGAAAUGGUACAUGGCACAUCUAGCAUUAGUAUAGUGCAGAAUAACUAAAGCAUCAGAUCUCACUCAAAAUGGUGGGUAGGCAGUCUACUGGGUCAAUGCUUUUGCAUAGUCACCUGUCAAAAGCUUGCUGGGGAUGACAGCACCACCUCUCUGGAAUCACCUGACCCACCAUCAUUCCAGGAGCAGCUAUUAAUCCAUCAGCAUCAUAAGCUACCAGCUAGCUCUGAACAGAAAACUUCUUUUAACAUGUGCAUUGUUCCUUGCACUGGUUUCACACACAAAGAUUGUCACAUUUCUUACACUGUGUUUUUGCAGAAUGAACCUUCUGCUAUUAUUAACUGGCAUGUUGUAAAGAGAAAGCAAUACUAUCUUUUUUCUCCCUUCACUCAAAGAAGCCUACUUGUGUAUAUAAUAUACAGUAUCUUAAAUGCUGUUUAAUUCAUUUAAGGAUACAAAAAUCUCUAUAUUUGUCUGAAAUUUAGAGGUUGUACAUGAUUUUUUUUCAUUAAAUAUAUCCUGUGUAAAGAUCACUAGAUAAUUGUAAAUAUAUUCAAACUAAUAAAAGUUGUGCAAAUAACGAUUAUUGGUUCAAAGUAUAGAAAUACUGCUGUGCAUCCAACCACAAAGCAAAUUUAAAUUAAUUGUGUGUCUCAUGAAGUUACCCUGCUGAACUUAUCUUAAAGACCGUUUGAAGGAAACUAGUGCAGCGCUGAGGUAUAAUGAUUACAUUUUCAGAAUUUUAGGAAGUUCCUUUUGAAUUGCAACCAAUGAAGAAAAACAAGCUGUAUGUCUCUUGAUAUUCAAAAUAUAAAUUGUGUCUAUAAAAGGUGGUGUAGAAAAUAUUAGUUUAAAAUCCAGCCACUUAAUGUGCUACUACCUGCUGCCUCGGUGCAAUAAUUGGAAAGUGCGAAUGGCAACUGAGCGAGGCCUUUCCGUCUGUGUUGUAUUCAGCAGCAGCACCUCUUGUCUUGUUCUGUCUUGCUAAAUCAGCACAAAGUGAAUUAAGAGAAACAGCUGAAUAACUGGAAAGAGAAAUUAUUUGGACACUAGCACACAAACACUUCGAUGUUUGUUCAGAGUAUCUUGAAAAGUUUACAAAAAUUUUAUCUUUCAAGUCUUUGUCAUCAAAUAUGAAUAAAAUCAGCUAGUGUUGGUCUUUGAUAUUACAUGAAUAAUUUAUUUUAGAGGCUCUCUUUCUGUUGCUUAAUCUGUAAAAUAUGGUUUAUAAAAGGAGACGGCUUGAGAAUGCUUAUCUGUAUUAAUAUGUCAAAAAUAUUUUAAGAUGGAAGUUCAGGAUGCCUGUGUUAUGUGAAUUGUUAUGAAGAGAGAUUUCAUUAAAAAUUAUGAUUUCAAACUAA